AAAUGCGAUAAGUAAUGUGAAUUGCAGAAUUCAGUGAAUCAUCGAAUCUUUGAACGCACCUUGCGCUCCUUGGUAUUCCUUGGAGCAUGCCUGUUUGAGUAUCAUGAAAUCUUCAAAGUAAAUCUUUUGUUAACUCAAUUGGUUUCUACUUUGGUAUUGGAGGUCUUUGCAGCUUCACACCUGCUCCUCUUUGUUCAUUAGCUGGAUCUCAGUGUUAUGCUUGGUUCCACUCGGCGUGAUAAGUUAUCUAUCGCUGAGGACACUGUAAAAGGUGGCCAAGGUAAAUGCAGAUGAACCGCUUCUAAUAGUCCAUUGACUUGGACAAUACUUUUAUGAUCUGAUCUCAAAUCAGGUAGGACUACCCGUUGAACUUAAGC
rnacentral:misc_RNA from 1 species